GUCUCUGAUGCUUUGCAGAGGCUGCUUGAAUACAAAACUGGCUGCUCAGACUAUUAAUGGGGCUCCCCUUUUGAUGGUGCCUGAGUGCCUCAGACUGGUGAGCAAGAUGGUGUCACUUUCCCAACUCCUCAUCCUCCUGGUGCUCUGGGUGUCAGGUGCCAGUGGGGACAUCGUGAUGACCCAGUCUCCAGCCUCCCUGGCUGUGACUCCAGGAGAGACCACCACCAUCAACUGCAAGUCGAGUCAGAGUGUUUUAUACAGCUCCAACCAGAAGAACUACUUAGCCUGGUACCAGAAGAAAACAGGACAGUCCCCUAAACUGCUCAUCUACUAUGCAUCCACCCGGGCAUCUGGGGUCCCCGACCGAUUCAGUGGCAGUGGGUCAGGGACAGAUUUCACUCUCACCAUCAACAGGCUCCAGCCUGAGGAUGUAGCAGAGUAUUACUGUCAGCAAGGUAACAGCUCUCCUCCCACAGUGUUUCAUCCUCCAAUACAAACCUCCUCCUCAGGUCUGUUGGCCAGUGAGUCCUGCUGCAGCAGCUGUUUCCUCCCUCACAGCCCUGAACAUGCACACUUCCUCUGUCUGCCCAAAAGUGUGUGUCUCCUGAAUCAUUUCAUGCAGGGUUUGCAGAAGGAGGGGAAAUUAAGGGACUUGGCAUAUUUUUAAUCUCUUUGUGGAAGA